rnacentral:misc_RNA from 1 species
GAUGAAGAACGUAGCGAAAUGCGAUAAGUAGUGUGAAUUGCAGAAUUCAGUGAAUCAUCGAAUCUUUGAACGCACAUUGCGCCCCUUGGUAUUCCAUGGGGCAUGCCUGUUCGAGCGUCAUUUGUACCCUCAAGCUUUGCUUGGUGUUGGGUGUUUGUCCUCUCCUUUGUGUUUGGACUCGCCUUAAAACAAUUGGCAGCCGGCGUAUUGAUUUCGGAGCGCAGUACAUCUCGCGCUUUGCACUCAUAACGACGACGUCCAAAAGUACAUUUUUACACUCUUGACCUCGGAUCAGGUAGGGAUACCCGCUGAACUUAAGCAUAUCAAUAAGCGGAGGA